UUACCGGGCUUCGGUUCGGUGGGAGUGGCGCACGGGUGAGUAGCGCGUGGGAACCUGCCCUGUUGUGGGGGAUAACCGAGGGAAACUUCGGCUAAUACCGCAUGCGCCCGGAGUGAUCCGGGGAAAGAUUUAUCGCAGCAGGAGGGGCCCGCGUCGGAUUAGCUAGUUGGUGGGGUAACGGCCCACCAAGGCGAUGAUCCGUAGCUGGUCUGAGAGGAUGAUCAGCCACACUGGGACUGAGACACGGCCCAGACUCCUACGGGAGGCAGCAGUGGGGAAUAUUGGACAAUGGGCGCAAGCCUGAUCCAGCAAUGCCGCGUGAGUGAUGAAGGCCUUAGAGUUGUAAAGCUCUUUCGCCCGCGACGAUGAUGACGGUAGCGGGAGAAGAAGCCCCGGCUAACUUCGUGCCAGCAGCCGCGGUAAUACGAAGGGGGCGAGCGUUGUUCGGAUUUACUGGGCGUAAAGGGCGCGUAGGCGGCCGAUCAAGUCAGGCGUGAAAGCCCCGGGCUCAACCUGGGAGGUGCGCUUGGGACUGGUUGGCUUGAGUUCGGGAGAGGAGAGUGGAAUUCCCAGUGUAGAGGUGAAAUUCGUAGAUAUUGGGAAGAACACCGGUGGCGAAGGCGGCUCUCUGGACCGAGACUGACGCUGAGGCGCGAAAGCGUGGGGAGCAAACAGGAUUAGAUACCCUGGUAGUCCACGCUGUAAACGAUGUGUGCUAGACGUUGGGGAGCCUAGCUCUUCGGUGUCGCAGCAAACGCUUUAAGCACACCGCCUGGGGAGUACGGCCGCAA
rnacentral:rRNA from 1 species